AAUGGUUGAAAUAUGUCCUCGACUCCUCUCGAUUCAAAGUCACGUGGUUUCAGGAUAUGUUGGGAAUAAAUCUGCUACAUUUCCUCUUCAGCUCCUGGGAUUCGAGGUUGAUGCAAUCAACUCUGUCCAGUUCUCAAAUCAUACUGGAUACGAGCACGGAACUAAGGGACAGAUAAUGAACGACAGUGAGCUUCAGGAGUUGAUAGAUGGAUUGCAGAUGAACAAGAUCAACUCCUUCUCCCAUAUUAUCAACGGAUAUAUCGGAUCCAAAUCUUUCCUCCUCAAGCUGGGGGAGGUCGUUAAAACCCUGAAAGCUGUAAACCCAGGCUUGACAUAUGUUUGUGAUCCAGUGAUGGGGGACUUUGGUCCUGGCCUUUAUGUCCCAGAGGAGUUACUAAGUGUGUAUAAGGAGGUCAUCAUCCCAAUUUGUGAUAUCUGUAUACCAAACCAGUUCGAGGCAGAACUUAUCACCGGAAGGAAGAUCAACAAUGAAGAGGAUGCUAUCUCAGUAAUGGACGAGUUCCACAAACGUGGAGUAAAAACUAUUAUUCUGUCAAGUACAGAAAUGGGAGAUGAAAACCAUCUUGUGGGGAUUGCAAGCUGCAAAAAAUCUAACCUGCACACUAUUGUAAAAAUAAACAUCCCAAAGUUCCCUGCUGCAUUUGUUGGAACAGGAGACCUGUUUACUGCAUUAUGUACUGCCUGGUUGUACCGUACUGAUAAUAAUCUCAAGCUAGCUUUAGAGAAAACUAUAAACACAAUGCAGUGUGUUCUGGAACGAACAUUAGCUUCUGCAAACUUAGCGGCUAAAAAUUUGGGAGCAGCAAAACCUUCCGCUGCUCAGAUGGAGCUUAAACUUAUUCAGUGCAAGGAUGUUAUCGAGAACCCUCCGAUUGGUGUGGAGGCGUUAGUCCUGUUGGAGGAGAAGAUUUAGAGGAUUUAGAGGAUCAUUCUCAACCCUGUCCCAGUGCUUCCAGAUGUAGUUUGUAAAUUUAGUUUCGUGCGUAAUUGCGUAGAUCGAUGGAGUCUUGUGCGUCAUCAUUAAACACUAAAAAAACCUUCUUUUCAUGCUGCCAACGUCAAACCAAUCGUUUUUGGCUCAAAAAGUUUCCAGAUGGUUGAAUUAAAAAAAGUUGCGAAUUUUUUAACUUUUUGCUGAAUAUUUUGCUCAAAGUUUGUUUAAACAAUAAACAUGCAACUUUUUUCUGUCUUAGAGCUUUUAAUUAAUUUUGAUUAUAAAGAAUUUACUGUCAAGUACUGAAUGUUAUUUUCUUGGUGGCACAGAUUGGGAUUAGAAGUUUGUUGUGCCAAAGACUUUUCCCCAAUUAUAUGUAGUUAAUUGUAAUAGUCAAAAAGCUUUCAAAAUUACAAAUUCUAAUAUUAUAAAAUUGUAAACAUAUCAAUCAAUGAUACUCAUUCUACUAGUCUGUAUAAAGAACCCUAGUCUAUUUAAUUUAUACUUGAUAAAAUUAUCAAAUUAGUCAACUUAGUUUUGAUAGAUUUCUUGCAUUUGAUCCACGUGAACAAUUUGUAAAGGGAGGAACUGCCAUUUUGUUUAUUAAACUAGGUGUUCAAAGAAAUUGAUUCGUUGCCACAAACUCUAUUUUCUAAUCCUUAUAUCUUUGCAACCCAAUGUCGUAUAGAUAUGUCAAAUUAUGCAUUAUGUUAGGUCAAAUAAAAUUUGAGUUUGUGUCAAAGGCUCAAUUCCUUUAAACUAAGUCAGAUCGAUCUCGCCCAUAAUAUAACGAAGAUUUUUGUGUCAUGUUUUUUGUUGUUAAAAAAAAAUUGAGAAAAAACAGAUUCUUCAAAAAUUGCAGUUUCCUCCUUUUAUAUUAUCCACUAUUAUCGUCAUUGUUAGCUGUUAG